rnacentral:sRNA from 1 species
AGGGCUUGGGGCCUGGGAGGCGCCGCGCGCACGGCGCCGGCUUCGCGGGAGGAGCCCCAGGCCCGCGAGCGCAGGCGCCCCGCCUCUCCCAGGGCGCUGCGGGCCACCGGCUCGGCCCUGCGCGGCGGGAUCUCGGGGCCGCACGGAGCGGGAGGCCGGGCGCCAUGGCGAGGGCCCCGCAGCCCCGGCGCGGCCCCGCGGCGCCCGGGAACGCCCUGCGCGCCCUGCUGCGCUGCAACCUGCCCCCCGGCGCCCAGCGCGUGGUGGUCUCCGCCGUGCUGGCGCUCCUGGUUCUCAUCAACGUCGUACUGAUCUUCCUGCUGGCCUUCCGCUGAGCGGCCGCGCAGGGCGCCGCGCCGGGCUCAUCAGCGAUGGCAGUGUGGUCUGCGCUGAAGCACUCUGGGACCAUGUCACCAUGGACGACCAGGAGCUGGGCUUCAAAGCUGGGGACGUCAUCGAAGUGAUGGAUGCCACCAACAGAGAGUGGUGGUGGGGCCGGGUCGCCGAUGGCGAGGGCUGGUUUCCAGCCAGCUUCGUUCGGCCCCGGGAGUGGGAACCAUGACUUACACCUGAAGAAGUUGAGGCACGGUCAAGUUAUUAGCCCUGGAGAUAGCAGAGAGGGGACCUGGAUUCCAUCUAAGGGGGUCUCCAGUCUUCAAGGAAGGAAUCCAGGUGCAGUCUCCAAAAGGCCUGGCUCAGGGCGUCCAAGCUGAGGGCCGUCCGGCGGGGAGGUCCCAGGCCCUGGUGUUCAGAUGCUCCUCCUGCCCCAGGUCCCCUGGGAAACUGUCCACUCCGCACCCUAAGCCUUUCCCCAAGAUGCAUGUUAGCCAGCGGGCGCGC